UGGGUGGAGCCAUGUGAAACCCCCUGGUGGCCACGUGGCCCCUGCCCCACUCUGGCUCCUCAGGAUACCCUGCCCUGUUGACCUUGCCUGCCAUUGUUUGAUAUUUCUUAUGGAGUAUAGGGAAGCUGCUCCAGGGUCCUAAAGUGAGUUCCAAGGUCUCAACCAGCCAGUCUCAGUCUUGACCCCCAGGGCACUUUUGGCUGUCAGUGCCUCAAGACAUCGUCUGCUUUAUGGGCUAUAUUCAAGGCCUCUAUCCUUCCCUAACCCCAAGCCAGGCUGCUUUCAAUGCCCUAGCCUUCAGCCCUCUGAGUCUUCAGACCUUAGCUUCAGACUAACUCAGUACACCAGCCUCAUCCCUCUGGGUCCCUGACCCCAGGAUAGACUGCUUUUUAUUGACUGCUCUACCAGGCACCCCUCUGUGGCCUACAUACCUCCUGCAUAGCCACAACCUGGCCCAGCAGUAUCUAACUUAUCUACAACACAAGAAGAAGCACCCGCUUCCAAACUCAAAGUCACCCUCACUCAGGGUCAAUGUCACCCCUGAAAGCUGUACUUCCCUUCAAGGUCUCAAUUCCCAGCUCUUAUGGGUGGCUUGGGUGCCUGCCAGGCUGUCUCCUGCAGCCCCUGUAUCCCAGGAGAGUCAUCUCCUGCAGUGUGCAGGGCCAGACUGUCCUCCUUGCUCCAAACACUGGGAUUAUAUGCCUCUAAGUGCUGCCCCUUCCAAUCAGGUGACUCCUCACCCAUCAACAAGCAUUUCUCUUUAUUAAAUGGCCAGCCCACCCUCCGCUGCAGCCCUGCAAAACAAACUCCUACCAACACUCCUACCAAUGCAGUUCAGCCUGCCAUUAAGCUUCUUGGCAACAAGGACACACUGCUGGCUCAUAUUCAACUUAUUGUCCCCAGGUCCUUUUCUUCAGAGCUGCUGCCCAGCCAGUCAGCCCCCAGCCUGUACUGGUGCAUGGGAUUGUUCCAUCCUAAGUGCAGGACUUUGCACUUGUCCUUGUUGAACCUCAUGAGAUUCCUUUUGGUCUAAUCCUCCAAUUUGUCUAGGUCACUGAUUCCUAGCCCUGUCUACCAGUGUAUCUACUACUCCUCCCAGCUUGGUGUCAUCUGCAAACUUGCUGAGGGUGCACUCUAUGCCAUCUUCCAGGUCAUUGAUGAAGAUAUUGAACAAAACCGGCCCUAGAACCGACCCCUGGUUUGCUCUAUUUGAUACUGGCUGCCAACUAGACAUUGAGAAAUUAAUUACUACCCUUUGAGCCUGAUAAUCCAGCCAGUUUUCUAUCCACCUUACAGCCCAUACUUCCUUAGCUUGCCUGAGAGAAUGUUAUGGGAGACCAUAACAAAAGCCUUGCUAAAAUCAAGGUACACCACAGCCACUGGUCUCCCCGCAUCCACAGAGCCAGUCAUCUCAUUAUAGAAGGCAAACAGGGUGGUCAGGUGGGCAAACUGCAGCCCACAGGCCACAUGCGGGCCAUUAGGCUAUUCUAUCUGGUCUGCAGGACCCCUAAAAAAUUUAGAAAAUUAAUGUUUAUCUGCCCCUGGCUGCCGGUCAUGCAGCCCUCUAUGGCUUGCCAAAAUGCAGUAAGCGGCCCUCUGCCCGAAAUAAUUGCCCGCCCCUGCUGUAGACAGUAGCGUUCUGGCACUGUUAUGUAUGCAUAGGAUGACUAGAGGUUGGAGUCUUUCAGAACGUUUGAACUCCUAACCGUAAUGAUGUCAUGACCCACUUCUGAUAGCUGAGCAUGUGCAGUGAGUUUUUUGACCAGUACCUAGUUGUUUGUUUGGUAACCAGGGGAACUGUGGUAGUAAGGACCAUUAUGCUAAUGAGUUAUUGUGGGUUCUUGGGAUAGUUUGAUUUGCAUGGUCCUAGCUGUGGUUGACUUUGAUUGGCAUUGAUUGAGAGAGUAAUGAUUGAAUCUACAAGUGAUUGACAGGGGGCGUGGUUCGGACGUUAUAAAGCCUGUCCAGCGUAGGGUCUGGCACAGCUUUUCAGGGCUGUCGUUGCUGGAGUUAGAGCUCGCUGAGACUUGCUCUGUCUCAUGUUCUCAACCUUUUUUGCCUGGUGUGUGUGCAACUGAUUUAAUCUUUGAAUACUUGUUUUUGCGGAACCCAUAAUUUAUUGACCAGAGCGAGUGAGAACAGUGUGUGUGUGGGACAGUGUUCGGGAGCAAGGGCAGGAGGGUCCUGAUCACCUGAGCACUUGCCGGCCACUCAACUGUGUCAUUACGUUAUGUCGGUUGGGUGAAGUAUCACCCCUUUUCUGAGGUGCUUAGUACCGACCUGUAUGGGAGGGAACAGCAUAGAAAUCCUCAGGGGUGUGAGAAUGCAGAGCAGGCCCUCCCUGCCUGUUAGCUCUCUAGGGUGAUAGUUGGCCCCCUAGGGUGACAGACUGCCCUCGGGUUCUUUAGCUGUUCUGUAGUUUAACUGGUUAUAGUAAUGUAUACAGGCAGUCCUCAACUUACAACGUUUCACACUUACAACAUUUAUAAAUUGACACCCUGUUUCAACUUUAUGAUGUCAGUUUCAACUUACAACGCUUGAUCCUAUGCAACGCCAUGCCAGCAAACAAGUUCUCUGCGUCGCUCAUCACUUAUGCUUUUGGGCAGGGGACUUGCUGGGGCGGGAUGGGCUUCACCUCUCUCCUAAAGGCAAGUGUGUCUUCUCUUCCAGGUUGGCUGAUCUUGUACAGCAAGCUUUAAACUAGCCUCACCGGGGGAGGGGGCUGCAGGAAGAUGUGGAGACACCACCCGAGCAAGACAGGUGACAUGUGCAAGGAGUGCCCAGGGACCGGGACUCCCCCACCGUGAUUCAAGACGGACUCGAGGGGAAUGCCUCCAGACCUAAGGCUGAGGAGGACUGGGUUAGAGUGCUUCUGGAAGGGCUGGACAUGUUUAAAUCAGAAGGUCCAGAUGCUCUCCACCCCAGGAUGUUGAGGGAGCUAGCAGGGGUUAUUGCAGGGCCCUUGGCAUGGCAUUACAAGCCCUCAUGGUGCUCGGGCCAGGUGCCAGAUGAUUGGAAGAUAGCCAGUGUGGUCCCCAUCUUUAAAAAAGGGAGGAGGGAGGACCUGGGCAACUAUAGGCCCAUCAGUCUUACCUCAAUCCUGGGGAAACUCUUUGAGAAGAUCAUCAAGGAGCACAUCUGUGAUGGGCCGGCAUCGGGGAUGAUGCUCAAGGGCAACCAGCAUGGUUUCAUUAGGGGCAGGUCAUGUCAGACCAACCUGAUUGCCUUUUACGAUCAGGUUACAAAAGCAUUGGAUGCAGGUGUCGCCGUGGAUGUAGUCUUUCUGGACUUCAGCAAGGCCUUUGACACUGUCGACCACCCCAUCCUCAUUAAAAAACUAGGUGACUGUGGCAUUGAUGCCUACACAGUCAGAUGGAUCGCAAAUUGGCUGAAGGGUCGUACUCAGAGGGUGGCGGUGGAUGGGUCAUAUUCGACCUGGGGGGAAGUGGGCAGCAGAGUCCCCCAGGGCUCGGUCCUUGGGCCCGCACUGUUCAAUUUCUUUAUCAGCGAUUUGGACGACAGGGUGAAAAGCAACCUGUUCAAAUUUGCUGAUGAUACCAAAAUUUGGGGUGAGGUGGGCACGCUGGUAGGGAGGGAAAGACUGCAGUAAGACCUGUAUAGGUUGCAAGGGUGGGCUAACAAAAACAGGGUGUGUUUCAAUAUGGACAAGUUCAGGGUGCUGCACUUGGGCAGUAGUAACCAGCAGCACACUUAUAAGAUGGGAAACUCCCUUCUUGAGAGCACGGAGGCAGAAAGGGAUCUUGGGGUCAUUACUGACUCCAAGAUGAACAUGGGCCGACAGUGCGAGAUCACGGUUGGCAGGGCUAACCGGAUCUUAUCAUGCAUCCACCGGUGCAUCUCAAGUAGGGCCAAGGAGGUGAUCCUCCCCCUCUAUGCGACACUGGUCAGGCCACAGCUGGAGUACUGUGUCCAGUUCUGGGCACCCCACUUCAAGAGGGAUGUGGACAACAUUGAGAGGGUCCAGAGGAGGGCCACCCGCAUGAUCCGGGGACAGCAGGGCAGACCCUACAAUGAGAGGCUACGGGACCUGAACCUGUUCAGCCUUCACAAGAGAAGGCUGAGGGGGGACCUGGUGAUGGUCUAUAAAUUCACUAGGGGGGACCAGAAGGGGUUGGGGGAGACCUUGUUUUCCCUAGCACCCCCUGGGAUAACAAGGAAUAACGGCCACAAGUUGCUGGAGUGUAGGUUUAGAUUAGACAUCUGUAAGAACUAUUUCACAGUUAGGGCGGCUAGGAUCUGGAACCAGCUUCCAAGGGAAGUGGUGCUGGCUCCUACCCUGGGGGUCUUUAAGAAGCGGCUUGAUGCCUACCUGGCUGGGGUCAUUUGAGCCCAGUUUUCUUCCUGCCCAGGCAGGGGGUCAGACCUGAAGAUCUACAAGGUCCUUUCCGACCCUACUUCUAUGAUUCUAUGAUUCUGUGAUCUCCCUGGAGAACAUCUAUCCAAACUUCUUCAGAUGCUUUCUUUAAGAAAGCAGACAAGACUCCAGAAAAACCUGCAGCCAAGAUUCCUGAGGAGACUCCAGCCAAGAUCCCUUCAAAAAGUCCAGCAAAGUCACUUCAAAGAAGUCCUUCCAAAUCAAUAUGAUUGCUAAUUAUAAUAUAAAUACAUUAACGUAGCUAUAUUACUCAUCUAUAAUUGAUCUAUUUUGAAAAUUCUGGGGUAUUUUUGGUGAAAAUAGGGUAUCGGGCCUUGGUUCAGGAACCAAUCCCCCAUUUAUAACAUUGUUUCUUAUGAGAAAACUGGUUCUGAGUUACAAUGUUUUGACUUAAGACAUGGUUUUUAGGAACCAGUUGUGUCGUAGUCCAAGGACUGCCUAUACUCUGUAUGCUGUUGCCUGUACUGUGUCGUACUGUGUCUGUAUGCUGUUAUGUUGUGUUUGGUUUUGUUGGUUCUUGGCCUAAUACACUUAUUAAACUUUA